UACGGAGGAUCCGAGCGUUAUCCGGAUUUACUGGGUGUAAAGGGAGCGUAGACGGUUACGCAAGUCUGGAGUGAAAGGCGGGGGCCCAACCCCCGGACUGCUUUGGAAACUGUAUAACUGGAGUGCAGGAGAGGUAAGUGGAAUUCCUAGUGUAGCGGUGAAAUGCGUAGAUAUUAGGAGGAACACCAGUGGCGAAGGCGGCUUACUGGACUGUAAAUGACGCUGAGGCACGAAAGCGUGGGGAGCAAAUAGG
rnacentral:rRNA from 1 species